UCCAUGCAGGAAUUCUGCCACACUGCCAC
rnacentral:piRNA from 1 species